AUUGAACGCUGGCGGCAGGCCUAACACAUGCAAGUCGAGCGAGCGGCGGACGGGUGAGUAAUGUCUGGGAAACUGCCUGAUGGAGGGGGAUAACUACUGGAAACGGUAGCUAAUACCGCAUACCAUCAGAUGUGCCCAGAGGGGAUAAGCUAGUAGGUGGGGUAAUGGCUCACCUAGGCGACGAUCCCUAGCGGGUCUGGGAGUAUGACCAGCCAGACUGGAACUGAGACACGGUCCAGACUCCUACGGGAGGCAGCAGGGGGUAAUAUUGCACAAUGGGCGCAAGCCUGAUGCAGCCAUGCCGCGUGUGUGAAGAAGGCCUUCGGGUUGUAAAGCACUUUCAGCGGGGAGGCGUUACCCGCAGAAGAAGCACCGGCUAACUCCGUGCCAGCAGCCGCGGUAAUAC
rnacentral:rRNA from 1 species